rnacentral:rRNA from 1 species
CCUACGGGUGGCAGCAGGGAGGAAUAUUGGUCAAUGGACGAGAGUCUGAACCAGCCAAGUAGCGUGAAGGAUGACUGCCCUAUGGGUUGUAAACUUCUUUUAUAUGGGAAUAAAAUGUUCCACGUGUGGGAUUUUGUAUGUACCAUAUGAAUAAGGAUCGGCUAACUCCGUGCCAGCAGCCGCGGUAAUACGGAGGAUCCGAGCGUUAUCCGGAUUUAUUGGGUUUAAAGGGAGCGUAGGUGGAUUGUUAAGUCAGUUGUGAAAGUUUGCGGCUCAACCGUAAAAUUGCAGUUGAAACUGGCAGUCUUGAGUACAGUAGAGGUGGGCGGAAUUCGUGGUGUAGCGGUGAAAUGCUUAGAUAUCACGAAGAACUCCGAUUGCGAAGGCAGUUCACUGGACUGCAACUGACACUGAGGCUCGAAAGUGUGGGUAUCAAACAGGAUUAGAUACCCUUGUAGUC